UUUCCGUAGGUGAACCUGCGGAAGGAUCAUUAACGAGUUAGGGUCUUCCAGGCCCGACCUCCCAACCCUAUGUUUAUUGAACCUCUGUUGCUUCGGCGGACCCGCCUCACGGCCGCCGGAGGACCGCUGCAAGGCGUCCUCUGGCCAGCGUCCGCCGAUGGCCAACCACUUAAACUCUGAAUGAAUCGUGUCAUAUGUCUGAGUCUAUGAUUAAAUUAAAGCAAAACUUUCAACAACGGAUCUCUUGGUUCUG
rnacentral:misc_RNA from 1 species